UACAGAGGAUGCAAGCGUUAUCCGGAAUGAUUGGGCGUAAAGCGUCCGCAGGUGGCGAUGUAAGUCUGCUGUUAAAGAGUGAGGCUCAACCUCAUAAGAGCAGUGGAAACUACAUAGCUAGAGUACGUUCGGGGCAGAGGGAAUUCCUGGUGUAGCGGUGAAAUGCGUAGAGAUCAGGAAGAACACCAGUGGCGAAGGCGGCGAUCUGAGAAGAUACUGACGCUGAGGUGCGAAAGCGUGGGGAGCAAACAGG
rnacentral:rRNA from 1 species